AGGGUUUGAUUAUGGCUCAGGAUGAACGCUAGCGACAGGCUUAACACAUGCAAGUCGAGGGGCAGCGUGCGGAAGUGGCAACACUUCCGUGACGGCGACCGGCGCACUGGUGAGUAACACGUAUGCAACCUGCCCCCGACUGGGGAAUAAUCGCGGGAAACCGCGUCUAAUGCCCCAUAGUUCCCCGGGCCCGCAUGGGCCCGGGGGGAAAGGUUUGUUCCGGUCGGGGAUGGGCAUGCGGCGCAUUAGGUAGUUGGCGGGGCGACGGCCCACCAAGCCGACGAUGCGUAGGGGUUCUGAGAGGAAGGUCCCCCACAUUGGUACUGAGACACGGGCCAA
rnacentral:rRNA from 1 species